rnacentral:rRNA from 1 species
GACGAACGCUGGCGGCGUGCUUAACACAUGCAAGUCGAACGAAGUGGCGAACGGGUGAGUAACGCGUAAUCAACCUGCCCUUCAGAGGGGGACAACAGUUGGAAACGACUGCUAAUACCGCAUACGGAAGGAGGGGCUUGCGUCUGAUGUGCGAGUUGGGGGGGUAACGGACCACCAAGGCGAUGAGCAGUAGCCGGUCUGGGAGGGUGAACGGCCACAUUGGGACUGAGACACAGCCCAGACUCCUACGGGAUGCAGCAGUGGGGAAUCUUCCGAAAUGGAGGGAAGUCUGACGGAGCAACGCCGCGUGAGUGAUGACGGCCUUCGGGUUGUAAAGCUCUGUUAAUCGGGACGCGGUACCGGCAUAGAAAGCCACGGCUAACUACGUGCCAGCAGCCGCGGUAAUAC